CCUCCUCUCCCACCACCCCACAAAUAGCUAACCUCCUCCCCUUCCUCCCACUUAAAAAAAAGCUAACCUCCUCCCCGUACCCACUUGCUCCUAAUUUUCCUCUCCGUCUCCACAAUCAUCUCCUCGCCACCCUGGUUCUCGGAUCAAACGCAGAUCAAGGCUCCCGGGAUGCUUAUCCUGGAGCAACGUACUGAAAUGCAGAGUCGAGAAAGAAUCAUUAACCCCUCACCCAAAUCUUUCUUGCAGGAAAUUUUGGAUUUGAUUUCGUACUAGGUGGUGCCACCGGGGGCCACGAUCUGGAGCGACGGGGAGGACGUAUGGAACACCGACCUAUCCAAGUUCGAGAUCCGGGCCAGGUUCGCGUCUGGUACGCCGUCCUCAACGUCGCCAUCAAGAUGGUGAGCCAGCUAGAGCUGGAUCCCGCCAUCGCCGCCUAGUUCGAGCGCAGCCUUCGAGGUCUCCCUCUGCCUCCGCCACCAGAACAUCAUCACCGGCAGGAACAAUGCGAGGUUAGGUGCGUCUCCUUUAUGGACGACAGCAGUGACUCGGCCGCACUAAUGCAGCGAAUAUAAUGCAAGAUGCAGUACUGAGAAGUCAGAUGGAUCUAAAUUGCCAAGAACUGAUGAUGCUUGGGUCAGAUGUUGAUGGCAAUGUCGAGAAUGUGGCCACUAUUAGAUAAUUAGAUGUCAAAUUUAGGGUCAACGUUUCAACCAUUGUAGUUGAUUGCAAGGUUGACAAUUGGGCUACUACUAGAUUGUUUCACAUCUUGUAAUCUUUGGAAUGUGUUCUUUUGUAAUGCAACACAAUUGAUUUAAUACAUGAGACCUUCUGUUCAUUA